CGGGGUGAGUAAUGUAUGGGGAUCUGCCUGAUGGCGGGGGAUAACUACUGGAAACGGUAGCUAAUACCGCAUAAUGUCUGCGGACCAAAGCGGGGGACCUCCGGGCCUCGCGCCAUCAGAUGAACCCAUAUGGGAUUAGCUAGUAGGUAAGGUAACGGCUUACCUAGGCGACGAUCCCUAGCUGGUCUGAGAGGAUGAUCAGCCACACUGGAACUGAGACACGGUCCAG
rnacentral:rRNA from 1 species